GUGCUCGCUUUGGCAGCACAUAUACGAAAAUUGUAAUAACACAGAGAUUAGCAUAGACCCUGCGCAAGGAUGACACGCAAAUACAUGAAGCGUUCUAUACCCAC
rnacentral:snRNA from 1 species